UCGAAGACGUGAGGUGGAAUCUGUAGGAAGCCGUAGGUAAAAUUCUGGACUGACGGAAAGAAACUGGAUAUAAAGCUGGGCCGAAAUAGACGAGUUUGCCAAACACAACGAAGUCCGGUUCUGCCCGAAUUUCUAAACACAGCAGUUUCACGGGAGGAAAGUUAUAGAU
rnacentral:ncRNA from 1 species